UAGAGUUGCAAAACUCCCUCAACCCUUUGUUAAUACUACCUGAUCGUUGCUUAGGCAGGCGGCCCCAGGGCGGGGCCUUCAGCCUUCUUUUAGGCGCCUGCCGACGGCAUCACAAAACUCGUUUUUUCAGUCAUCUGAGUAACAAACAAAAUUUAGUUA
rnacentral:misc_RNA from 1 species